CACAGCUCAAGGCAAUUCGGGAUCCUUAACCCACUGAACGAGGCCAGGGAUCGAACGUGCAACCUCAUGGUUCCUAGUCAGAUGCAUUUCCACUGCCCCACAACGGGAACUCCGGUGCUAUCUUUUUUUCACCGUGUAAAUUUCCCUCUAUGUCUGGGAACAUUCACCUCUCACCACAGGCAUAGCACACGCUUUCUGCCACUUGUCUUUUGACUUAACUGGUGACCUCUAUCCUUGAUCCUGUCACAACUUCUUUUUUUAGGGCCGCACCCAUGGCACAUGCAAGUUCCCAGGCUAGGAGUCUAGUCGGAGCUACAGCUGCCGGCCUACAGACAGCCACAAGCAACGUGGGAUCACGAAUCCACCAAGUGAAGCCAGGGAUCGAACCCUCAUCCUCAUGGAUCCUAGUCAGGUUCGAGAAUGGCUGAGUUUUUAGAACCACAUAACCUUGUAAACAAUGCAGUCAAAUUAGUAACUUUUUCUUCAUGUUCCCAGGGUUCCUGUCUUGUGCAGAAAUUCUUUCCUAUGCUUAUGUUCUCGCUUCCUUUCAAUAUUUUUAUCACUUUAUCCUUGGCAGUUGCUGACUUGAUCCAGUUGGAAUGCAUCCGUGUCCUGUGAGGUCGCAUACAGAAUUCACAAGCCUCUCUGCACAGGGCCUCCUGCUGCAGCGGGCUGGCCCUUCCCACCAGCCCUUCCCACCGUUUCCAUCGCUGACUGAGGCCCAGAGAGGUGUUCGGCGCAAGAAAAAAGCCCUCUCCGGGCUUCCUUGUUUGCAUUUCUCUAAGGAAGGAGCCGUUCGUUUGCAUAUCCUUCUCAGUGUUCUCUGGGCACUUCCUGUGGGAGAGUUGGGAUUUCUUACUUGUUUGUGGGAACUCUAUAUUACAAUCGCAUUUAGAUUGGCCCUUUGGGAUGUGAGUGGCACGGUCGUCCUCCCGUGGCUGGCUUGCUUUUUGACUUGAUGGGAGUUUUGCUCUGCAGGAAACUUUGAUUUUCAGGCCUUGCGUCCCGUGUCCAGCGUCACAUUUAGA
rnacentral:lncRNA from 1 species